rnacentral:rRNA from 1 species
GAGCGAACAGACGAGGAGCUUGCUCCUCUGACGUUAGCGGCGGACGGGUGAGUAACAUGUGGAUAACCUACCUAUAAGACUGGGAUAACUUCGGGAAACCGGAGCUAAUACCGGAUAAUAUAUUGAACCGCAUGGUUCAAUAGUGAAAGACGGUUUUGCUGUCACUUAUAGAUGGAUCCGCGCCGCAUUAGCUAGUUGGUAAGGUAACGGCUUACCAAGGCAACGAUGCGUAGCCGACCUGAGAGGGUGAUCGGCCACACUGGAACUGAGACACGGUCCAGACUCCUACGGGAGGCAGCAGUAGGGAAUCUUCCGCAAUGGGCGAAAGCCUGACGGAGCAACGCCGCGUGAGUGAUGAAGGUCUUCGGAUCGUCAAACUCUGUUAUUAGGGAAGAACACAUGUGUAAGUAACUAUGCACGUCUUGACGGUACCUAAUCAGAAAGCCACGGCUAACUACGUGCCAGCAGCCGCGGUAAUACGUAGGCGGCAAGCGUUAUCCGGAAUUAUUGGGCGUAAAGCGCGCGUAGGCGGUUUUUUAAGUCUGAUGUGAAAGCCCACGGCUCAACCGUGGAGGGUCAUUGGAAUCUGGAAACUUGAGUGCAGAAGAGGAAGUGGAAUUCCAUGUGUAGCGGUGAAAUGCGCAGAGAUAUGGAGGACACCAGUGGCGAAGGCG